AGGGGUGUAGCCAAGCGGUUAAGGCCCGUGACUUUGACUCACGUAUCCGGAGGUUCAAAUCCUCUCAUCCCUGCCA
rnacentral:tRNA from 1 species